rnacentral:ncRNA from 1 species
UUCAGGUGCCCGAAUACUUCGGGAUAAUUGGGAAGUUCGUAAAAACGACGCUGACCCGCAACCGUGAGAGGGGAUGAACCCGCAACAGCCACUGUGGACGCGUCCACGGGAAGGCGCGGGCAAAGAUGAUCCUCAAGCCGGGAAACCAGCCUGAAAG